rnacentral:sRNA from 1 species
UUGGCAGCCCUGCAGCCUUUCCUGUGUGCCCACCACACAGAUGCACCACAGGUAGUGACGGUGCCAGCAUCCCCACACUGCCUGCCCCAUGCGUCACUCUGCCUCGCAGAGGCCACCUCUAGAGGGGAGGGAAGAGAUUGUGAGCCAGUGUGUCACUUGU